ACACAGCACUGUGCAAACACGAAAGUGGACGUAUACGGUGUGACGCCUGCUCGGUGCUGGCAGGUUAAUUGAUGGGGUUAUCGGCUGGCGUGGUGUUCCUGAUCGAAGCCACACGUAAACGGCGGCCGUGACGAUAACGGUACUAAGGUAGAGAAAUUCCUUGUCGGGUAAGUUCCGACCUGCACGAAUGGCGUAAUGAUGGCCAGGCUGUCUACACCCGAGACUCAGUGAAAUUGAACUCGCUGUGAAGAUGCAGUGUACCCGCGGCAAGACGGAAAGACCCCGUGAACCUUUACUAUAGCUUUACACUGAACCUUGAGCCUUGAUGUGUAGGAUAGGUGGGAGGCUGUGAAGUGCAGACCCAGUCUGCACGGAGCCAUCCUUGAAAUACCACCCUUGAAU
rnacentral:rRNA from 1 species